rnacentral:SRP_RNA from 4 species
AGUGGGCUGGCCAUGGACAGGUUGAUUUGUGAACCCGGUCAGAUUCGGAAGAAAGCAGCCGCAGCAGAUUUCAUCUGGGUCGUGGUCCAGCCUUUUUUA